UACGUAGGGGGCAAGCGUUAUCCGGAUUUACUGGGUGUAAAGGGAGCGUAGACGGUGAAGCAAGUCUGGAGUGAAAUGCGGGGGCUCAACCCCCGGACUGCUUUGGAAACUGUUUGACUGGAGUGCAGGAGAGGUAAGCGGAAUUCCUAGUGUAGCGGUGAAAUGCGUAGAUAUUAGGAGGAACACCGGUGGCGAAGGCGGCUUACUGGACUGUAACUGACGUUGAGGCUCGAAAGCGUGGGGAGCAAACAGG
rnacentral:rRNA from 1 species